rnacentral:rRNA from 1 species
AUUGAACGCUGGCGGCAGGCCUAACACAUGCAAGUCGAGCGAGUGGCGGACGGGUGAGUAAUGUCUGGGAAACUGCCUGAGGGAGGGGGAUAACUACUGGAAACGGUAGCUAAUACCGCAUACCAUCGGAUGUGCCCAGAUGGGAUUAGCUAGGAGGUGGGGUAAGGGCUCACCUAGGCGGCGAUCCCUAGCUGGUCUGAGAGGAUGACCAGCCACACUGGAACUGAGACACGGUCCAGACUCCUACGGGAGGCAGCAGUGGGGAAUAUUGCACAAUGGGCGCAAGCCUGAUGCAGCCAUGCCGCGUGUAUGAAGAAGGCCUUCGGGUUGUAAAGUACUUUCAGCCGGGAGGCGUUACCCGCAGAAGAAGCACCGGCUAACUCCGUGCCAGCAGCCGCGGUAAUAC